rnacentral:tRNA from 1 species
AGGUGUGUAGUAUAUAGGAGUACAGGCGAAUUCCACUCGUCAGGUUGGACAUCUA